GUGGCACUGUGGCGGACUGUGCAGCGGUGAACGGGCACCACAGAGGAAGAGCUGCAUUUUGUCUGUUCCUGGAGGAAAACAUCACUCAGAUAGCUGCUGUCUGAGUGGCUGCAGACGGUGCCAGUGGACCGAAGAAUUCAGGCUGGUCACCAUGGAAACGUAUCGUCGGCUAUGCUAAAGCAUAACGGCAGGUUGAAAAUUCAACUGACAGCAAAAGGCGCCUAAAAAUACGCAAGUUACUUUCAUGCCUCCAGUUUCAGAUGUCCACAGGAGAUCUCAUUUAUCUCUUGUUUAGAUGAUGGAGUUUCCCCGCAUUCCCAGCAGCUGCUGUCAGCUCUGCGGUCUCAGCGCCAGCGGGGUUUCCUCUGUGACUGUACCGUCCUGGUGGGCUCAUCCGUUUCCUGGCUCACCGGGCUGUUUUGGCCUCCUGCUCGCCUUUCUUCCACAUGUUCUACUCAGACUCUCCAGGGGGGAACAGCGCCAGCAGCUCCGUCACACUCGACAGCGACAUUGUCAC